UCGCAUCCGCCAUCCGGUUCAGCCGUGUCGCGGAAGGUUUUCUUAACCAGCUAAUGCUUCCCCAAGGGAAGCGGAGGUCAGCG
rfam:Pseudacidovorax intermedius strain NS331 contig_215, whole genome shotgun sequence.